CAUAUCAAUAAGCGGAGGAGAAAAAACUAACAAGGAUUCCCCUAGUAACGGCGAGUGAAGCGGGAUGAGCUCAAAUUUGAAAGCUGGCACUUGUGUCCGCAUUGUAAUCUCGAGAAGUAGUUUCUGUGUUGGGCCAUGUACAAGUUCCUUGGAAUAGGACAUCAGAGAGGGUGAGAAUCCCGUACUUGACAUGGAUUCCAAUGCUUUGUGAUCUGCUCUCUAUGAGUCGAGUUGUUUGGGAAUGCAGCUCAAAAUGGGUGGUAAAUUCCAUCUAAAGCUAAAUAUUGGGGAGAGACCGAUAGCGAACAAGUACCGUGAGGGAAAGAUGAAAAGCACUUUGGAAAGAGAGUUAAACAGUACGUGAAAUUGUCAAAAGGGAAGCGCUUGAGGUUAGCUAUGCAUGCAGUAUUCAACCUUUCUUUUGAUGGGUGUAUUUGCUGUUUUGCAGGCCAGCAUCGGUUUUGUCUGCUGGAUAAUGAUAGAAGGAAUGUGGCAUCCUCGGAUGUGUUAUAGCCUUCUAUUUGAUACAGUGGAUGGGACCGAGGACCGCAGUGUGCCGUAAGGCAGGCUCUUCGGAGUACUUUCACACUUAGGAUGCUGGCGUAAUGGCCUUAAGCGGCCCGUCUUGAAACACGGACCAAGGAGUCUAACAUAUUUGCGAGUCUUUGGGUGGCAAACCCAUAGGCGCAAUGAAAGUGAAUGCAGGUGGGAUCCCCUCGGGGUGCACCAUCGACCGAUCCAGAAUUUUUAGGAAGGAUUUGAGUACGAGCACAUAUGUUGGGACCCGAAAGAUGGUGAACUAUG
rnacentral:rRNA from 2 species